GUCUAUGGCCAUGCCACCCUGAACACGCCCAAUCUCGUCUGAUCUUGGAAGCUAAGCAGGGUCAGGCCUGGUUAGUACUUGGAUAGGAGACCACCUAAAAAUACCAGGUGCUAUAGGCU
rnacentral:rRNA from 1 species